rnacentral:rRNA from 1 species
UACGGGAGGAUCCAAGCGUUACUCCGGAUUUUAUUGGGUUUAAAGGGUAGGCGUAGGCGGCUUAUUAAGUCAGGGGUGAAAGACGGUGGCCUCAACCAUCGCAGUAGCCCUUGAUAACUGAUGAGCUUGAAUACACUUGAGGUAAGGCGGAAUGUGACAAGUAGCGGUAGAAAUGCAUAGAUAUGGUCACAGAACACCAAUUGCGAAGGCAGCUUACUAAGGUGCAAUUGACGCUGAAGGCACGGAAAGCGUGGGGGAUCAAAACAAGG